rnacentral:precursor_RNA from 1 species
CGCAGGGCUCGGGUCGGCUGCCUCCUGGUCUCGGCUUCCCGGAGCGCGGGCUGAGCACCGAGGCUCCUGAGUCCGAAACGAGACUCGCC